rnacentral:rRNA from 1 species
AGCCUAAAGAUGGAUAAUUUUAGGCGAAACCUGCCCGGUGCCACGAUUAAUGGUAAACGGCCGCAGUACCCUGACUGUGCUAAGGUAGCGUAAUCAGUUGGCUUUUAAAUGGAGUCGUGUAUGAAGGGGAUAAUAGGGCUAAGCUGUCUCUCUUCGGUUUAGUUGAAUUUAACUAUAAGGUGAUAAUGCCUUAACACAGAUAAAGGACGAUAAGACCCUUGGAGUUUUUAUUAAUAGGCCUAUUUAGGCCUUGUGUUUUUGCUGGGGCGGCAAAGAGGUAAAUAAGUUAACCCUCUCUUCAAACAGGCCGAGUGUAUUAUGAAAGAUUAAACUACCCGAGGGAUAACAGCAUUAUUCUUUAUAGAGUUUGUGACCUCGAUGUUGGACUAGGGAUUUUCUAGGCUAGCCGCUUAGUUUUAUUGUUCUGUUCGAACUAUUUUCCC